rnacentral:rRNA from 1 species
UUGUUUUCUAAGAUUAAGCCAUGCAUGUCUAAGUACAAACCGCUUGCACGGCGAAACCGCGAAUGGCUCAAUAAAUCAGUUAUGGUUCCUUAGAUCAAUCAAUCCUACUUGGAUACCUGUGGUAAUUCUAGAGCUAAUACAUGCACUCAAGCCCCGACGUGGACUGUCAAAGGUGUACGGAGGGGCGCUUUUAUUAGAUCAAAACCAGUAAACGGCCGUCAAACGCCGUGAACAGUUUGGUGACUCUGGAUAACUUCACGCCGAUCGCACGGACUAGCUCCGGCGACGCGUCUUUCAAAUGUCUGCCUUAUCAACUGUCGAUGGUAGGUUACGCGCCUACCAUGGUUGCAACGGGUAACGGGGAAUCGGGGUUCGAUUCCGGAGAGGGAGCCUGAGAAACGGCUACCACAUCCAAGGAAGGCAGCAGGCGCGCAAAUUACCCACUCCCGGCACGGGGAGGUAGUGACGAAAAAUAACGAUACGGGACUCUUCCGAGGCCCCGUGAUUGGAAUGAGUACACUUUAAAUCCUUUAACGAGGACCCAUUGGAGGGCAAGUCUGGUGCCAGCAGCCGCGGUAACUCCAGCUCCAAUAGCGUAUAUUAAAGUUGUUGCGGUUAAAAAGCUCGUAGUCGGAUGUAGUAGUCGGCCGGGGGUUGAUUCUGCUUUAAUCGGUGGCUUCAGUUUCCCUCUGCCGGAGUCGGUGUCAAAGCCGGUUCUGGCUUAACGGUCGGCUAUUAUCGCCGGUCUCGCGCGAAUAGUAGCAGUAGCACACCCUCGUGGUGUGUUUGCUGUUUGCUAACGCGUGGGUUCAAUCGGUCGGGGUGCCUUUAACCGGGUGUCCCGAUCGAACCGGCACUGGUUUACUUUGAACAAAUUAGAGUGCUCAAAGCAGGUGAUUAUUCGCCUGAAUAUCACAGCAUGGAAUGAUGGAAUAGGACCUCGGUCUUAUUUUGCUGGUCUUUUUCAAGACCCGAGGUAAUGGUCAAUAGAGACGGACGGGGGCAUUCGUACUGCGGCGACAGAGGUGAAAUUCUUGGACCGCCGCAAGACGAACGACAGCGAAAGCAUUUGCCAAGAAUGUUUUCCUUGAUCAAGAACGAAAGUUAGAGGUUCGAAGGCGAUCAGAUACCGCCCUAGUUCUAACCAUAAACGAUGCCAACCAGCGAUCCGCCGGUGUUACUCCCAUGACUCGGCGGGCAGCUUCCGGGAAACCAAAGUCUUUGGGUUCCGGGGGAAGUAUGGUUGCAAAGCUGAAACUUAAAGGAAUUGACGGAAGGGCACCACCAGGAGUGGAGCCUGCGGCUUAAUUUGACUCAACACGGGAAACCUCACCAGGUCCGGACACUGGAAGGAUUGACAGAUUGAGAGCUCUUUCUUGAUUCGGUGGGUGGUGGUGCAUGGCCGUUCUUAGUUGGUGGAGCGAUUUGUCUGGUUAAUUCCGAUAACGAACGAGACUCUAGCCUGCUAAAUAGUCGGUUGGUUUAUAAGUUUGAUUUGGUGUACGUCGGUCGGGGGAUCAGGACGGUAGCGGUUGGGUUUCGGUCGGGCGGUGUCAAAGCCGUCUGGUUGGUGCUUGGUUGCCGCCGUCCCCUCCGUAUCGACGUGCAUCGCGUCAACCGAGACUCUUCUUAGAGGGACAAGCGGCGUCCAGCCGCGUGACAGUGAGCAAUAACAGGUCUGUGAUGCCCUUAGAUGUCCUGGGCCGCACGCGCGCUACACUGAAGGAAUCAGCGUGUUUCACUCCCCCAGUCCGAGAGGACCGGGUAACCGCUGAACCUCCUUCGUGGUUGGGAUUGGGGACUGCAAUGAUCCCCAUGAACCAGGAAUCCCUAGUAGGCGCGGGUCACUAGCCCGCGUCGAUUACGUCCCUGCCCUUUGUACACACCGCCCGUCGCUACUACCGAUUGAAUGAUUUAGUGAGGCCUUCGGACGGGCUCUUCGGGGUGCGGUUGAUUGGGGGGCAACUCCCGGUCGACUGAGCCUAUCAACGUCGAGACUGAAAGAUGGUCGAACUUGAUCCUUUAAAGGAAGUAAAAGUCGUAACAAGGUUUCCGUAGGUGAACCUGCAGAUGGAAUUAGUUA